CACGUAGGGCGCAAGCGUUGUCCGGAAUUAUUGGGCGUAAAGAGCUCGUAGGCGGUCUGUUGCGUCCGCUGUGAAAACUCGGGGCUUAACCCCGAGCCUGCAGUGGAUACGGGCAGACUAGAGGUAGGUAGGGGAGAAUGGAAUUCCCAGUGUAGCGGUGAAAUGCGCAGAUAUCGGGAGGAACACCGGUGGCGAAGGCGGUUCUCUGGGACGGUACUGACGCUGAGACGCGAAAGCGUGGGGAGCGAACAGG
rnacentral:rRNA from 1 species